GUGCUUACUUUGGCAGCACAAAUACUAAAAUUGGAACAAUAUAGAAAAGAUUAGCAUGGUCUGUGCACAAGGAUGACACGCAAAUUCAUGAAGCAUUCUGCAUUUUU
rnacentral:snRNA from 1 species